rnacentral:rRNA from 1 species
GAUGAACGCUGACAGAAUGCUUAACACAUGCAAGUCGAUGGGGAAGUGGUGCUUGCACCAUGGCAACCAUGGCGGACGGGUGAGUAACGCGUAAGGGACUUACCUGCAGGACUGGGAUAACAGGGGGAAACUCCUGACAAGACCGGAUAAUGUCAUGGAGCUGCAUGGCUUUAUGAUGAAAGGAGACGCCUGCGGAGAGCCUUGCGUCCUAUUAGCUAGUUGGUGAGGUAAUGGCUCACCAAGGCGAAGAUAGGUAGCCGGCCUGAGAGGGUGGACGGCCACAAGGGGACUGAGAUACGACCCUUACUCCUACGGGAGGCAGCAGUGGGGAAUAUUGGACAAUGGGGGCAACCCUGAUCCAGCAAUUCUGUGUGCACGAAGAAGGUUUUCGGAUUGUAAAGUGCUUUCAGCAGGGAAGAAGUAAGUGACGGUACCUGCAGAAGAAGCGACGGCUAAAUACGUG